GAUGAACGCUGGCGGCGUGCCUAAUACAUGCAAGUCGAGCGAACGGACGAGAAGCUUGCUUUUCUGAUGUUAGCGGCGGACGGGUGAGUAACACGUGGAUAACCUACCUAUAAGACUGGGAUAACUUCGGGAAACCGGAGCUAGUACCGGAUAAUAUUUUGAACCGCAUGGUUCAAAAGUGAAAGACGGUCUUGCUGUCACUUAUAGAUGGAUCCGCGCUGCAUUAGCUAGUUGGUAAGGUAACGGCUUACCAAGGCAACGAUGCAUAGCCGACCUGAGAGGGUGAUCGGCCACACUGGAACUGAGACACGGUCCAGACUCCUACGGAAGGCAGCAGUAGGGAAUCUUCCGCAAUGGGCGAAAGCCUGACGGAGCAACGCCGCGUGAGUGAUGAAGGUCUUCGGAUCGUAAAACUCUGUUAUUAGGGAAGAACAUAUGUGUAAGUAACUGUGCACAUCUUGACGGUACCUAAUCAGAAAGCCACGGCUAACUACGUGCCAGCAGCCGCGGUAAUACGUAGGUGGCAAGCGUUAUCCGGAAUUAUUGGGCGUAAAGCGCGCGUAGGCGGUUUUUUAAGUCUGAUGUGAAAGCCCACGGCUCAACCGUGGAGGGUCAUUGGAAACUGGAAAACUUGAGUGCAGAAGAGGAAAGUGGAAUUCCAUGUGUAGCGGUGAAAUGCGCAGAGAUGUGGAGGAACACCAGUGGCGAAGGCGACUUUCUGGUCUGUAACUGACGCUGAUGUGCGAAAGCGUGGGGAUCAAACAGGAUUAGAUACCCUGGUAGUCCACGCCGUAAACGAUGAGUGCUAAGUGUUAGGGGGUUUCCGCCCCUUAGUGCUGCAGCUAACGCAUUAAGCACUCCGCCUGGGGAGUACGACCGCAAGGUUGAAACUCAAAGGAAUUGACGGGGGCCCGCACAAGCGGUGGAGCAUGUGGUUUAAUUCGAAGCAACGCGAAGAACCUUACCAAAUCUUGACAUCCUUUGACAACUCUAGAGAUAGAGCCUUCCCCUUCGGGGGACAAAGUGACAGGUGGUGCAUGGUUGUCGUCAGCUCGUGUCGUGAGAUGUUGGGUUAAGUCCCGCAACGAGCGCAACCCUUAAGCUUAGUUGCCAUCAUUAAGUUGGGCACUCUAAGUUGACUGCCGGUGACAAACCGGAGGAAGGUGGGGAUGACGUCAAAUCAUCAUGCCCCUUAUGAUUUGGGCUACACACGUGCUACAAUGGACAAUACAAAGGGUAGCGAAACCGCGAGGUCAAGCAAAUCCCAUAAAGUUGUUCUCAGUUCGGAUUGUAGUCUGCAACUCGACUACAUGAAGCUGGAAUCGCUAGUAAUCGUAGAUCAGCAUGCUACGGUGAAUACGUUCCCGGGUCU
rnacentral:rRNA from 1 species